UACGUAGGGUGCGAGCGUUGUCCGGAAUUAUUGGGCGUAAAGAGCUCGUAGGCGGUCUGUCGCGUCGAUCGUGAAAACUUGGGGCUUAACCCUGAGCUUGCGGUCGAUACGGGCAUGACUGGAGUUCGGCAGGGGAGACUGGAAUUCCUGGUGUAGCGGUGAGAUGCGCAGAUAUCAGGAGGAACACCGGUGGCGAAGGCGGGUCUCUGGGCCGAUACUGACGCUGAGGAGCGAAAGCGUGGGGAGCGAACAGG
rnacentral:rRNA from 1 species